AACGAACGCUGGCGGCGCGUCUUAAGCAUGCAAGUCGAGCGGUAUGGAGAAGCUUGCUUCUCCAGAGAGCGGCGGACUGGUGAGUAACACGUGGGUGACCUACCCUUAGGAUGGGGAUAGCCACUAGAAAUAGUGGGUAAUACCGAAUGUGGUUGCGAGACUGUGGUCUUGCAAAGAAAGGAGCUACGGCUCCGCCUGAGGAUGGGCCCGCGUCCCAUUAGCUAGUUGGUGAGGUAACGGCCCACCAAGGCGAUGAUGGGUAGCCGGCCUGAGAGGGUGAACGGCCACACUGGGACUGAGAUACGGCCCAGACUCCUACGGGAGGCAGCAGCUAAGAAUAUUCCGCAAUGGACGAAAGUCUGACGGAGCGACGCCGCGUGGAUGAAGAAGGCCGAAAGGUUGUAAAAUCCUUUUGUCGAUGAAGAAUAAGCAUGGGAGGAAUGCCCGUGUGAUGACGUUAGUCGGCGAAUAAGCCCCGGCUAACUUACGUGCC
rnacentral:rRNA from 1 species